GAUGAACGCUAGCGGCAGGCUUAAUACAUGCAAGUCGAGGGACAGCACAGGUAGCAAUACUGGGUGGUAACCGGCAAACGGGUGCGGAACACGUACACAACCUUCCUUUAAGUGGGGGAUAGCCCAGAGAAAUUUGGAUUAAUACCCCGUAAUAUAGUUGAAUGGCAUCAUUUGAUUAUUAUAGCUACGGCGCUUAAUGAUGGGUGUGCGGCUGAUUAGAUAGUUGGCGGCGUAACGGCCCACCAAGUCUACGAUCAGUAGUUGAUGUGAGAGCAUGAUUAGCCACACGGGCAAGGAGACACGGGACCGACUCCUACGGGAGGAAGCAGUAAGGAAUAUUGGUCAAUGGACGCAAGUCUGAACCAGCCAUGCCGCGUGAAGGAUUAAGGUCCUCUGGAUUGUAAACUUCUUUUAUUUGGGACGAAAAAGGGCCUUUCUAGGUCAACUGACGGUACCAGAUGAAUAAGCACCGGCUAACUCCGUGCCAGCAGCCGCGGUAACAC
rnacentral:rRNA from 1 species